AUCAUGUGAAAUUCUCCCCUUAGAGGCUGAUUCUCAAUGAGCAAGAGAAGAUGAGGGAAGGUGCUAGAAGCCAGGCCCAGGAAGGUUCCUCAGGUUAAUUCUCACGUAGCAGGCUGCGGAUCCUCAGCAGGUUUUUCUCCUGUGCCGACAGCUUCCUUGGGUCUGGAUAGACAGACAACUCAUCACUGGCUGUUCCCGCAGACUGGCUCCGGGCCUGGCCCAAUUGCUUCUCAAGCUCUUGAACCUGAGGAUGGUAAAACUCGUCGUUCCACAAUGGGUCUUCUGCCAGCCUCUUCUACUCAGAAGUGUGAUAGGAGACCCCACAGACUGAAGAUGGAACCACCUCUCUAGAUGGCUGUGGUAGCCCCAUCUGAGGAGGACUAGGGGUGGGGGACAAUCUGAGCUGGCAUCUUGAGCAACACAUUGGAAGACACCAGGAAAGUUCAGCUUAGAAAAAUGGUGUGAAGAUGAAGACAUAGGAAGAUGAAGGGGUUUGCCCAAGGUCAGAGUUGGCAGACCGGUGGCCAAACGUAAACUCAGGUCUCUUGAACCCCAAGGCCAUGCACUAUCAUCUAUUAGCUUCUUGGAGUUUUUCCCCCUUUAUAUUGGCUUCAAGGAUCCCAUGGGAGACACUGAAGAUAAAAGCCACUGUGACCCUCGAAGUCCCUGGGAACAAGGGUGAUAUGCUUGGCAAAUGGUGGAAGUCAUACACCUUCUCACAUGUUUCUCAGUUUGAAGGGACAAAGGGAAAAGAACCACACCUAACUUUUAUACAGUGCUUCCUCCAUGCCAGGCCCUGUGCUGAGCAUUUUACAAGUAUUGACUCAAUUCUCCCAACAAUCCUGUGGGGUAGGCAUCGUUAUUAUCCCCAUUAUACAGAUGAGGAAACUGAGGCACAGAGCUAAAGGAACUUGCUUAAGGUCACACAGCUGGUGAGUGGAGAGCUGGGAUUUGAAUCUGAGCAGUGUGGCUCCAGAGCCCCUGCUGUUAGCUGCUUUUGGUAUGCUCCAAAAUAUUCAGACAAUAAAGAGGGAGACAAGGCUAAAUUUUUAUUGGGUAAUUAAACUUUCAAAAGACUACAAGCAUCUGGACAAAACUGGAAAAAGCUUACAAUUACAACAGUCACGCAAAUCUACAUAAACUAAGAAAAAAAAAAGAUGCCUGGAGUAAAAUAAAUCAAACCAAAGGCGUUGGCAUUUGUUAAGCUCCAGUGCCUGGCAUGUGCUAAGUGUUAUAUAAGAGCUUGUUCAUUAAAUAACAAAUUAAAAUCAGGCUGGUUGGCGAGAAGGUAAAACAACAACCCCGCACGAGUGCACUGUGAGACCUAAAGGCCUUUUUUGGGUACUGUGUGCUUAGGUCUCUAAGGGGGUCAGGGCAGCUCUUUCUGGGGUGUUUUAAAUCCUUUGUUCAGGCCAGGAGAAGUCUGAUGACUCACUCACCUUGCUCUGCAAAACAAGAAUUUGUUGAGCCCGACCCCUCCAGGUCCCUGGCGAAGAUAGGAGCUGCUGAACGUUGAUGUCUUCCCCAACCUCUCUGGCCAAAACCUGAAAUAAGGCAGGGCCUUCAAUGUGGCCAAAAGAGAGGGCUCCACCAGACCCUGAUGCUGCUACGUAUUUAGAAGCAUAUUCAGAAGCAGUCUUCACCUACACGAUCUUCUUCCCAUCUCAGAGCAUAGCCCUCAAAGGUCAGUUUUCCAUGUCCCAAGGGCAGCUCUCCCUGGGAAAGUAGUAAACCCAUCAUCCCUGGCAUUUCUUGGCAAUGCUUAGAGCAGCCAAGAAACUGCCAGCAAUGCCCAGAUAGGGCCCCUUGCUCUUGACAUAUUCUGGGAUGACUGAACCACAAAGCUGACCAACUCCUGCUUCCUUAACCCACUCACCUGUCACCUAGUGCUGAGCUAAUUCUGGCUAUAGGAAGUACAUCACCACAGGACCCUAGCCUUUGUGAAAACCCACGGACAAGUGGACCUCUGAGUGCAGCAAAAGGUGGGCUACUGAAUGUCAGUUGGGGUGCUGUGGUCCAAGAAGGACCCAGCUUUGCGGUUGUUGAAGUGCAGCACUCAGGCCCAACCUCAAGGCUUUGAGGCAGAAACAAUACGCUCCAGCUUGUGACCUGGGCCCCUCUGAAGCCUGUCACAGAAACCCGAUCCAGCGUACCAAGUCUCUGGCACUUGUUUCCACAAUAGAACACUGUUUUGGAAAUCUUGGCCAGUCUGAGUGGUUCCAGCAGGGAAGACAAAUGCCAGAGAAUUCGCUAUGUAAAUAAAAAUAAAUAACGAACCAGCUGGGCCUGUGUCCCAAGUCUGAGCAUUUUCCUUUGAAAGGGUCCUUUAAUACACAAGUAACCUAUUCAUUUUCUGUUACAGAUAGCAGAGAAGAAGGCAGGUGUUGGCAGGCUUUCAAGUUAAGUAAGGGUGACAUUAAGGGGAGACCCAGGAU
rnacentral:lncRNA from 1 species